rnacentral:tRNA from 1 species
GCUCCCAUCGUCUAGUGGCCUAGGACACCGCCCUCUCACGGCGGGAACAGGGGUUCAAAUCCCCUUGGGAGUACCA